rnacentral:rRNA from 1 species
UACAGAGGUCCCGAGCGUUGUUCGGAUUCACUGGGCGUAAAGGGUGCGUAGGCGGUCGGGUAAGUCUGAUGUGAAAUCCCGCAGCUUAACUGCGGAACGGCAUUGGAUACUAUUCGGCUCGAGGAGUGGAGGGGAGACUGGAAUUCUCGGUGUAGCAGUGAAAUGCGUAGAUAUCGAGAGGAACACCUGUGGCGAAGGCGAGUCUCUGGACACUUCCUGACGCUGAGGCACGAAAGCCAGGGGAGCAAACGGG